rnacentral:misc_RNA from 1 species
CUGGGCAAGAGCGCGAGGUGGCAGGCCAUAGUGCACCUGGGCAAGAGCGCGAGGUGGCAGGCCAUAGUGCACCUGGGCAAGAGCGCGAGGUGGCAUGCCACAAUGCACUUGAGCCGGAGCGUGAGGCGAUAGGCUCAAGUGGACCUAUGCUAGAGCAGGACCACAAUGCAUUUGAGCAAGCGAGCGAGGCGGCAGACCACAAUGCACCUAGUCAGGAGGACGAGCUGGCACGCCAAGGUUCACCAAUGCGUGAUGAUGAUGACUAUGGGGAGGACUACGAUGGAGAGGCCGAUGGAGAGGCCGAUGACGAGGUUGUUACAACGACACAGGCAACGAACUUCAGGUUUCGGCGGUCACUUAGAGUUCCACCGACACAACCCUUGGACCAACGUAGGGUCAUAAACCCUGCAGGAGAGAGGAGCUGGGUGGAGGUGGCAUGGAGUGGCAAAGGUCACCGGACACCAGUUAACACAGUGCUGGGAUCUAUAGCUCGUUUUCACUAUCCAGGGGUGGUACAAUUCAACGGGGCAGAGACAGGGGCGUAUCACUGGGCUCACUGGGGCCUCAAACCAUAUGGACCCGACCGUACUCACCAAGACGCAGUGUGGUCAUCAUUUUGGGAACAAUUUAGAUUGGACGAAACAGCAAACGAAGAACAUGCAAAACGUGUAUUCCACAAUGCUGCUAGAAAAGUUAUAAAUGGUUCAAUGUCAGAUGCACGGGUCAAAGCUGUUACCGUGUACUUCAAGAAAGUGAAGGGUCA